UGUGGGCAUGCUUACCUGCAGUCGAACGGUGAAGCAGAGCUUGCUCUGUGGAUCAGUGGCGAACGGGUGAGUAACACGUGAGCAAUCUGCCCCUCACUCUGGGAUAAGCGCUGGAAACGGCGUCUAAUACUGGAUACGAGCUGCGAAGGCAUCUUCAGCAGUUGGAAAGAUUUUUCGGUGGGGGAUGAGCUCGCGGCCUAUCAGCUUGUUGGUGAGGUAAUGGCUCACCAAGGCGUCGACGGGUAGCCGGCCUGAGAGGGUGACCGGCCACACUGGGACUGAGACACGGCCCAGACUCCUACGGGAGGCAGCAGUGGGGAAUAUUGCACAAUGGGCGCAAGCCUGAUGCAGCAACGCCGCGUGAGGGAUGACGGCCUUCGGGUUGUAAACCUCUUUUAGCAGGGAAGAAGCGAAAGUGACGGUACCUGCAGAAAAAGCGCCGGCUAACUACGUGCCAGCAGCCGCGGUAAUACGUAGGGCGCAAGCGUUAUCCGGAAUUAUUGGGCGUAAAGAGCUCGUAGGCGGUUUGUCGCGUCUGCUGUGAAAUCCCGAGGCUCAACCUCGGGUCUGCAGUGGGUACGGGCAGACUAGAGUGCGGUAGGGGAGAUUGGAAUUCCUGGUGUAGCGGUGGAAUGCGCAGAUAUCAGGAGGAACACCGAUGGCGAAGGCAGAUCUCUGGGCCGUAACUGACGCUGAGGAGCGAAAGGGUGGGGAGCAAACAGGCUUAGAUACCCUGGUAGUCCACCCCGUAAACGUUGGGAACUAGUUGUGGGGUCCAUUCCACGGAUUCCGUGACGCAGCUAACGCAUUAAGUUCCCCGCCUGGGGAGUACGGCCGCAAGGCUAAAACUCAAAGGAAUUGACGGGGACCCGCACAAGCGGCGGAGCAUGCGGAUUAAUUCGAUGCAACGCGAAGAACCUUACCAAGGCUUGACAUACACGAGAACGCUGCAGAAAUGUAGAACUCUUUGGACACUCGUGAACAGGUGGUGCAUGGUUGUCGUCAGCUCGUGUCGUGAGAUGUUGGGUUAAGUCCCGCAACGAGCGCAACCCUCGUUCUAUGUUGCCAGCACGUUAUGGUGGGAACUCAUGGGAUACUGCCGGGGUCAACUCGGAGGAAGGUGGGGAUGACGUCAAAUCAUCAUGCCCCUUAUGUCUUGGGCUUCACGCAUGCUACAAUGGCCGGUACAAAGGGCUGCGAUACCGUAAGGUGGAGCGAAUCCCAAAAAGCCGGUCCCAGUUCGGAUUGAGGUCUGCAACUCGACCUCAUGAAGUCGGAGUCGCUAGUAAUCGCAGAUCAGCAACGCUGCGGUGAAUACGUUCCCGGGUCUUGUACACACCGCCCGUCAAGUCAUGAAAGUCGGUAACACCUGAAGCCGGUGGCCCAACCCUUGUGGAGAGCCUCGAACGGGAUAG
rnacentral:rRNA from 1 species